GCUGGGUGUGGUGGCGGGCACCUGUAAUCCCAGCUACUCAGGAGGCUGAGGCAGGAGAAUNGCUUGAACCCGGGAGGCAGAGGUUGCAGUGAGCCGAGAUCAUGCCACUGCACUCCAGCCUGGGUGACAGAGCGAGACUCUGUCUCAA
rnacentral:SRP_RNA from 1 species